UACAGAGGGUGCAAGCGUUGUUCGGAAUCAUUGGGCGUAAAGCGCGCGUAGGUGGCUUCGUAAGUCCGUUGUGAAAGUCAAAGGCUCAACCUUUGAAAGCCGAUGGAUACUGUGAGGCUAGAGUCCGGAAGAGGCGAGUGGGAAUUCCUGGUGUAGCGGUGGAAUGCGCAGAUAUCAGGAGGAACACCGGUGGCGAAGGCGGGUCUCUGGGCAGUAACUGACGCUGAGGAGCGAAAGCGUGGGGAGCGAACAGG
rnacentral:rRNA from 1 species